rnacentral:rRNA from 1 species
AUACCAHUUUCAACCACGGAUCUUUUGGCUCUCGCCUCGAUGAAGAAAGCAVCGAAAUGCGAUAAAUAAUGUGAAAUGCVGAAUUCAVUGAAUCCUCGAAUCUUUGAACGCCCCUUGCGCCCCUUGGUUUUCCGAGGGGCACGCCUGUUUGAGUGUCGUGAACUUU